rnacentral:rRNA from 1 species
UACGGGGGGAGCAAGCGUUGUUCGGAUUUACUGGGCGUAAAGGGCGCGUAGGCGGUCAGCACAAGUCAGUUGUGAAAUCUCCGGGCUUAACUCGGAAAGGUCAACUGAUACUGUGCGACUAGAGUGCAGAAGGGGCAACUGGAAUUCUCGGUGUAGCGGUGAAAUGCGUAGAUAUCGAGAGGAACACCUGCGGCGAAGGCGGCAUCCUGGACCGGUAUUGACGCUGAGGCGCGAAAGCUAGGGGAGCAAACGGG